rnacentral:rRNA from 1 species
GUGAGGAAUAUUGGACAAUGGGCGCAAGCCUGAUCCAGCCAUGCCGCGUGCAGGAAGACGCAUCUAUGGUGUGUAAACUGCUUUUGUACGGGAAGAAACACUCCCUCGUGAGGGAGCUUGACGGUACCGUAAGAAUAAGGAUCGGCUAACUCCGUGCCAGCAGCCGCGGUAAUACGGAGGAUCCAAGCGUUAUCCGGAAUCAUUGGGUUUAAAGGGUCCGUAGGCGGUUUAAUAAGUCAGUGGUGAAAGCCCAUCGCUCAACGAUGGAACGGCCAUUGAUACUGUUAGACUUGAAUUACAAGGAAGUAACUAGAAUAUGUAGUGUAGCGGUGAAAUGCUUAGAUAUUACAUGGAAUACCAAUUGCGAAGGCAGGUUACUACUUGUGGAUUGACGCUGAUGGACGAAAGCGUGGGGAGUGAACAGGAUUAGAUACCCGAGUAGUCC